rnacentral:rRNA from 1 species
UCCGUAGGUGAACCUGCGGAAGGAUCAUUAAAAAAAGAGAAACGCCCCGUUUUUUUCAUAAGAAUGGGUUCUAUUCCCUUAAACCGUGUCUACAUACCUUUGUUGCUUUGGCAGGCCGCCUUCGGGCGUCGGCUCCGGCUGAUAGUGCCUGCCAGAGGACCCAAACUCUAUGUUUAGUGAUGUCUGAGUACUAUAUAAUAUUUAAAACUUUCAACAACGGAUCUCUUGGUUCUGGCAUCGAUGAAGAACGCAGCGAAAUGCGAUAAGUAAUGUGAAUUGCAGAAUUCAGUGAAUCAUCGAAUCUUUGAACGCACAUUGCGCCCCUUGGUAUUCCGAGGGGCAUGCCUGUUCGAGCGUCAUUAUAACCACUCAAGCCUGGCUUGGUAUUGGGGUUUUCGCGUGCUCGCGGCCCUUAAAAUCAGUGGCGGUGCCGUCUGGCUCUAAGCGUAGUAAUCUCUCUCGCUAUAGGGUUCCGGUGGUUACUUGCCAAAACCCCCCAUUUUUUCUAGGUUGACCUCGGAUCAGGUAGGGAUACCCGCUGAACUUAA